ACGAUUGCAACCACCGCCGGUCGUCUCCAUCUCACCCCCGCCCCUAUAUAAAUGUCUGUGCACAUGUACCUUUGACCAGAAACUCGUCGCCUCACAGUCGCACGCCCCAAAGCGCCUUACAUGCAUCGAGAUUGACCACCGCUGCCGUGAGAGAGGGGGGAGUGCGAGCCACCAUUGUCGCCAUACGUUCGCAACAUCCUUCAGAGUCCGAGAUCAGGCCAGGGCGCUUCGCCAUUCGACACGCAAGGCGUCCAUGUCCUAUCCAGGCGGGAUUAUUGGUCGGUGUGGCGGUAACUGCUCACCAGAGCAACCCCAUCACUAUGAAGCCGCACGGAGUCGAUGUCGGGGCUUGCGCGGUUCAUUUGUCGGUAAGACAUCGCCCAACAUGUCUAUCUCGCUCUCCUCUUUGCGUAGGAACUUAUAGCGUAUGGGUUAGAGCUCUGGAUUGGUCGGGCGCCUUGCUCUAGCGAGUAUCGUCGCAGCGGCUAUGCUGCUCUGAGCACUGGCCUUCAAAAGGGAGGAGAUCGAUCUAUGACCGUCGACUUCUUGAUGGGUGGCUAGGGUUAGUGCUUACGCA
rnacentral:lncRNA from 7 species